rnacentral:lncRNA from 1 species
GUGGAAUGUGAUGGACAUCAUUAUCCAAAGUACAUGUAUGAAGACAUGAAUUGGUGUGAACAUACUUUAUAUACAAGCAGAUAUGAAAAAUUGUGCUGUAUAUGUGUAAUAAGAAUUGUAAUGAUUUCACUGUCAUUUAUUUUUAAAAAAUCAAUUUUAAAAAUUAAAAAUAAAUAAAUAAUAGAGCAAAUGAACAGAGACUCAGCCAGCUGAAACAAGGAUGCACUCGUGCUAGAGAGCCUCAUGAGGACCUGACAUCCCAUCACUUGUCAUCCUUUUCCUGAUGCACUGCAUGAUCCUCACUGCCCUCAGACUCUACCAUCUUGUCAGGACCCUGGUGAGAGAUGCAACUUCUCCCUACAACCCUCUUCUCAACUGGUCGUCCACUCUACACCAGGAGAAUCCUGCCUUGGUUCCGGACCUGGUCACCACAGUCUGAGUGAGUGUGCAUCUGCUGGACUUAAAGCCUAAGACUUGAGACUUUUGAACUUAGCAUGCAGGGAGAAGGUCUGUCAAUAGCCUCUCAUGAUUAAGUGUGUUUGCAGUGCUUAGAGUUAAUCUAGAAUUGUUUGCUGUGAAUUGAUUAUGUCUAUUGCAGUGCCCAGCAUUAAGGAGUGUUGUUUUCUUGAUUAAGAACCUAGAGUGAAAUUGUAUUGAAUGAUGUAAGUGAAUAAAGCAUUGGCAAAGGCAGAGGCACACGG